rnacentral:rRNA from 1 species
GAUGAACGCUGGCGGCGUGCCUAAUACAUGCAAGUCGAGCGAACGGACGAGAAGCUUGCUUCUCUGAUGUUAGCGGCGGACGGGUGAGUAACACGUGGAUAACCUACCUAUAAGACUGGGAUAACUUCGGGAAACCGGAGCUAAUACCGGAUGAUAUUUUGAACCGCAUGGUUCAAAAGUGAAAGACGGUCUUGCUGUCACUUAUAGAUGGAUCCGCGCUGCAUUAGCUAGUUGGUAAGGUAACGGCUUACCAAGGCAACGAUGCAUAGCCGACCUGAGAGGGGGGUCGGCCACACUGGAACUGAGACAGGGUCCCGACUCCUACGGGAGGCAGCAGUAGGGAAUCUUCCGCAAUGGGCGAGAGCCUGACGGAGCAACGCCGAGUGAGUGAUGAAGGUCUUCGGAUCGUAAAACUCUGUUAUUAGGGAAGAACAUAUGUGUAAGUAACUGUGCACAUCUUGACGGUACCUAAUCAGAAAGCCACGGCUAACUACGUG